AACAAUGGCUUUAGUGGCGGACUGGUGAGUAACACGUAAGCAACCUGCCUAUCAGAGGGGAACAACAGUUAGAAAUGACUGCUAAUACCGCAUAUGCCUAAGUAUCACAUGGUACAAUAGGGAAAGAAGCAAUUCGCUGAUAGAUGGGCUUGCGUCUGAUUAGAUAGUUGGUGGGGUAAUGGCCUACCAAGUCGACGAUCAGUAGCCGGACUGAGAGGUUGAACGGCCACAUUGGGACUGAGAUACGGCCCAGACUCC
rnacentral:rRNA from 1 species